UUAGUGGCGGACGGGUGAGUAACGCGUGGAAAACCUGCCGUAUACUGGGGGAUAACACUUAGAAAUAGGUGCUAAUACCGCAUAAGCGCACAGCUUCGCAUGAAGCGGUGUGAAAAACUCUGGUGGUAUACGAUGGUUCCGCGUCUGAUUAGCUUGUUGGCGGGGUAGGGGCCCACCAAGGCGACGAUCAGUAGCCGGCCUGAGAGGGUGAACGGCCACAUUGGGACUGAGACACGGCCCAAACUCCUACGGGAGGCAGCAG
rnacentral:rRNA from 1 species